GGGGGGGGGGGGGGGGGGGGGGGGCGCGUGCGGGUCGAGCGAGACCGUCGGGGCGGGGGGCGCACGGGUGCGUAACGCGUGGGAACCUGCCCUUAGGUUCGGAAUAACUCCCCGAAAGGGGUGCUACGCCCGGCUACUGUCUUCGGACCAAAGAUUUAUCGCCUUUGGAUGGGCCCGCGUUGGAUUAGCUAGUUGGUAGGGUAAAAGCCUACCAAGGCGACGAUCCAUAGCUGGUCUGAGAGGAUGAUCAGCCACACUGGGACUGAGACACGGCCCAGACUCCUACGGGAGGCAGCAGUGGGGAAUAUUGGACAAUGGGCGAAAGCCUGAUCCAGCAAUGCCGCGUGAGUGAUGAAGGCCUUAGGGUUGUAAAGCUCUUUUACCCGGGAUGAUAAUGACAGUACCGGGAGAAUAAGCUCCGGCUAACUCCGUG
rnacentral:rRNA from 1 species